rnacentral:rRNA from 1 species
CCAGCAGCCGCGGUAAUACGUAGGGGGCGAGCGUUGUCCGGAAUUAUUGGGCGUAAAGAGCGCGCAGGCGGUUUGUUAAGUCUACCGUGAAAGCUUACGGCUCAACCGUAACGGGUCGGUGGAUACUGGCAGACUUGAGGGCAGGAGAGGAAAGUGGAAUUCCCAGUGUAGCGGUGAAAUGCGUAGAGAUUGGGAGGAACACCAGUGGCGAAGGCGACUUUCUGGACUGCAACUGACGCUGAGGCGCGAAAGCUGGGGGAGUGAACGGGAUUAGAUACCCCGGUAAUCCCAGCCGUAAACGAUGGGUACUAGGUGUAGGAGGUAUCGACCCCUUCUGUGCCGGAGUUAACGCAAUAAGUACCCCGCCUGGGGAGUACGGUCGCAAGACUGAAACUCAAAGGAAUUGACGGGGGCCCGCACAAGC